CGAAAGCCUGACGGAGCAACGCCGCGUGAGGGAUGAAGGCCUCUGGGCUGUAAACCUCUUUUAUCAAGGAAGAAGAUCUGACGGUACUUGAUGAAUAAGCCACGGCUAAUUCCGUGCCAGCAGCCGCGGUAAUACGGGAGUGGCAAGCGUUAUCCGGAAUUAUUGGGCGUAAAGCGUCCGCAGGCGGUCUUGUAAGUCUGUCGUUAAAACGUGGAGCUUAACUCCAUUUCGGCGGUGGAAACUACAAGACUAGAGUGUGGUAGGGGCAGAGGGAAUUCCCGGUGUAGCGGUGAAAUGCGUAGAUAUCGGGAAGAACACCAGUGGCGAAGGCGCUCUGCUGGGCCAUAACUGACGCUCAUGGACGAAAGCCAGGGGAGCGAAAG
rnacentral:rRNA from 1 species